GUGGCAGUCCAUCCGUGGAUUGUUCCCCAAUGCGCAAAUAAAAGGAUGCACAUUCCAUUGGGGACAGGCUGUUUGGAGACACGUCCAGUCUCUCGGGCUUCAGAUUCAAUACAGGAACAGGGAUGCAAUAUAUAAAUUUAUCCGAAAAUUGAUGGCCCUCUGUUUCCUACCACAUGAACACAUCAAGCCAGCGUUCGACCGCAUGCAAGCCUGUUUGGAUGAUGAGACAUCGCCCAAGUUGCUCGAACUGAUGGAAUACAUGGGCGCCACAUGGAUUGACAACACCAUCUGGCCGUGCAAGUCGUGGAGAGUUCAUGAGACCGACUCGUACAAACAAUGAUGUGUAGAGGGAUGGCACAAUAGGAUCAACAGCCGUGCAGGGAGUGGGAACCUGGGAAUAUACAUGCUGAUUCCCAUCCUGUACCAGGAAGUAGACUUACUGCCACUCCAGAGGAAAUUGGUUUCAGAAGGGAAACUAAUAAAAAAAAUGCAAAAACGAAACAGCCGGCAAGCCCAGCAGAAGCUUUUUCUCCACUGGGAGAAAUAUGUGAAUGGGGACAUGGCUGUUGGCCGUCUGCUGAAGAUAUGUUCUGGUCAUGUCCAUGUAGCUGACAACUGAAAAAAAAAGCAACUAGAAUAUUACAAAUAUUGUGUGUUUUUUCGAUAGUUUCAUUGGCUGUUUAAAAUAAAAUCAUAAAAUGUUUGUAACUACGAUAUAUAUAUUUAUCCUUUAUCCUAAUAAACUCGUGACAAAUCCUCUGUCCUGUAAUAUUUAUUUUGAUGUGUGUGUUUCAGUACCCCAGUCAUUUGUUUCUGGAUCAUAUAUUAUUAUGUUUCAUAUAAAAAUUAUUAUAUUAUAAAAUUGUAACUCGCAUUAGUCGUAACCCAAUAAUUUUUGGUUAUGCUAUUGCAAGCUGUAACGAAGUCUGACUGCAUACAUGUAUAA